rnacentral:lncRNA from 1 species
GUUCGCGCUUUAAUUUAUUCCUUUCUGCGUAAGGCAUCGUUUGGUUCAGAAAUAAAUUUUUUUUAGUUAUUCUUGGAAUAGAUACAACUUGGGAAAUAAGUAGAGAUAAGAUCAAUUUUACAUUUAGAUGAUAAUUAAGUUAUUUUUGAAAAUAAAAAAAACUUCAAAUACCACAUCUGUGGUUUCACACUUUCUCACUUUUGUACCAUGUGGUUUAAAGUGUAUCAAUUUAGUUUCAUGUGGUUUUAUUUUUAUCUUUUUAUUAUCGAUUUUACUAAUUUUUUUCGUUGAAUCACUGACAAAGUUAAAACUAAAGGAUACUAAAAUGAAUAUUCGAUAAACCUAGGUGGGUUAUCUGAAGUUUUUUGCAUAUAAUUUAACGAAAUAUUAACAAAAAAGCUGAUGAAAAGAUAAAAAUAAAACUACAUGACACUAACUUGAUACAUUUUAAAUCACAUGGUACUAAAGUGAGAAAGUGGAAAACCACUGGGAUGGUAUUUAAAGUUUACCCUAAAAAAAAUAAUGUUUAAAUAGUUAGAUAGGAACAAUAAGAAUAAGAGCAAUUAUAAUUUUAAAAUAAUGAUAUUUUAUAUAAUUAAUUAAUAACAAAAUAUUAAUUAAAUAAUAAUUUAAUAAAUUGAUUAAUUAAUUAAUCAUGUCUACUAUUAGAUAAUCAUAAAUAGGACAUUAAUUAAUCAUUAAUUAAUUAACCAUGAGUACUAUUAAUUAAUAAAAUAACUAACUGUAAAUAAUUUGAUAAAUUAACAAAUUAAGUUAAUAAAUUAAUAGAUUAGUAAAUUAAUUAGUUAAUUAUUUAAUUAGUUAU